GGGGUGUGCUCAGAGCAGGGGGCCUGAAGAAAUGGAUCCUCUGUUUACAACACAGCCAACAGGAAUCCGGGUUCACUGUGACAACAGGCACAACACUUGGGGCCCUCCUAUGAACACAUACCCUACAGGU
ensembl:snoRNA